GGGAUCAUAGCUCAUCCGGAUAGAGCAAUUGCCUUCUAAGCAAUAGGUAGGGGGUUCGAGUCCCUCUGGUCCCGCAA
rnacentral:tRNA from 1 species